rnacentral:rRNA from 1 species
CCUACGGGAGGCAGCAGUGGGGAAUUUUUGUCAAUGGGGGAAACCCUGAACAAGCAACGCCGCGUGGAGGAUGAAGGCCUUCGGGUCGUAAACUCCUGUCGGAGGGGACGAAAGCGGCUAGGGUUAAUAUCCUUAGCUGUUGACGGUACCCUAUGAGGAAGCCCCGGCUAACUCCGUGCCAGCAGCCGCGGUAAUACGGGGGGGGCAAGCGUUGUUCGGAAUUACUGGGCGUAAAGGGCGCGCAGGCGGCCCGGCAAGUCCCUUGUGAAAUCCCACGGCUCAACUGUGGAACUGCAGGGGAUACUGCCAGGCUUGAGUCCGGGAGAGGGUAGUGGAAUUCCCAGUGUAGCGGUGAAAUGCGUAGAUAUUGGGAGGAACACCGGUGGCGAAGGCGGCUACCUGGACCGGUACUGACGCUGAGGCGCGAAAGCUAGGGGAGCAAACGGGAUUAGAUACCCCGGUAGUCCUAGCUGUAAACGUUGAGCACUUGGUGUGGCGGGUAUCGACCCCUGCCGUGCCGAAGCUAACGCAUUAAGUGCUCCGCCUGGGGAGUACGGUCGCAAGGCUGAAACUCAAAUGAAUUGACGG